GGUUCUGUGGUCUAAUGGUUAUGACGUUUGCUUCACAUCUGGUGUUUACGCAAAAGGUUCCCAGUUCGAUCCUGGGCAGAAUCA
rnacentral:tRNA from 1 species